UUUUCCAGCUUUUGAUUGGUUUUGAGACUGGUGUAGUUGUGUUUUGGGACCUGAAGUCAAAGGCAGCAGAAUAUCGCUUUAAUAAUCCACAGGCUCUGAGGUCCAUAACCUGGGAACAAGAUGGAAAACAGUUUAUGUGUAGUCUGUCUGACGGCAGUUUAGUUACAUGGAACUACAAGAAACCAACAGAACCAGUCAGUAUAAUAUCUCCACAUGCAAAAAUAUCCAAAGAUGGUCGACCAGACCCUUGCAAACCAAUCAACAAAGUGGAGUGGAAGUCGAGCAAAAAUGGGUAAGGAUUAAC